rnacentral:rRNA from 1 species
GUGAGGUAACAGCUCACCAAGGCAUCGACGGGUAGCUGGUCUGAGAGGACGAUCAGCCACACUGGAACUGAGACACGGUCCAGACUCCUACGGGAGGCAGCAGCAGGGAAUAUUGCACAAUGGGCGAAAGCCUGAUGCAGCAACGCCGCGUGAGGGAUGAAGGCCUUCGGGUUGUAAACCUCUUUCAGGAGGGAAGAAAUUGACGGUACCUCCAAAAGAAGCCCCGGCUAACUACGUGCCAGCAGCCGCGGUAAUACGUAGGGGGCGAGCGUUGUCCGGAUUUAUUGGGCGUAAAGGGCUCGUAGGCGGUUCAGUAAGUCGGCUGUGAAAGUCCGGGGCUCAACCCCGGAAAUGCAGUCGAUACUGCUGUGACUAGAAUCAGGUAGAGGAGAAUGGAAUUCCCGGUGUAGCGGUGGAAUGCGCAGAUAUCGGGAGGAACACCAGUAGCGAAGGCGGUUCUCUGGGCCUGUAUUGACGCUGAGGAGCGAAAGCGUGGGGAGCAAACAGGAUUAGAUACCCUGGUAGUCCACGCCGUAAACGUUGGGUACUAGGUGUGGCGAUCCGUCUAACGAUUGCCGUGCCGAAGCUAACGCAUUAAGUA